GACAGAGGGUGCAAACGUUGCUCGGAAUCACUGGGCGUAAAGGGCGUGUAGGCGGGUAGAUAAGUCGGGCGUGAAAUCCCUAGGCUCAACCUAGGAACUGCACUCGAAACUGUUUAUCUUGAGUGCCGGAGAGGAAAGCGGAAUUCCUGGUGUAGAGGUGAAAUGCGUAGAUAUCGGGAGGAACAUCAGUGGCGAAGGCGACCGCCUGGCCCAACACUGACGCUGAGGUGCGAAAGCGUGGGUAGCAAACAGG
rnacentral:rRNA from 1 species